AUGAGACUGCAAUUUUUACCCUAUCAUAUGUAUACGGAAUCUGUCCAUUAUGUUAUCAAGAAACGACGGACGUUAGGUGUUCUAGCUGUAAUGUUGGCCAUUGUCCGGUGGCGUCGUCGACGUAGACAUUACAGUCUUAGAAUGUCUCGAAGAAAGUAUGGGCCAUUGGUUGAUAGAGAUCUGGAGAGGCAAAAAAAGUUGAAUGACCUGUACAAUUCAACCGAUAAAAAUUGCAUCAGUCAACUCCGGACGACGGGGCCGCUACGCAGUGGGUUUGAUGAUGUGAACAAACAAGUGAUGCUCUCCCAAUCUACUCUAGAUGGCUUAUCGGCCAAUGAUCGUGGAAUUCUCUCUAAACCGAUUCAGUUCUACGACAAGUUGAAGGAAUUAUUUAGUGGCUCGUCGGCAGAUGGCUCUUUUAUGCAAGACCCUUUCUCUGCAGCUGAAACUGACAAUGAUGAUAAGGUAAAAGAUGACAUGAUGAAUGAUAUGUCCACCUUUGUUGAAGCGAAGGGUCCAACAGGUCAUGACUCGGAUAAAUUAGAUACAAAUAGUGAUGAUUGUGAAGCGGUGGCUGCUCUUGCUGCAACUGAUAGUCAAGUUUCCUCGUCCAAUGUUGCGGCUCUAAAGCCUAACAAGAAAAGUUUCAAAAAAAGUGCAAAGCCAAAUACUCUGCCACCACCACAAAAUGAUAAAGCUAAAAGGUCAAAGCCAAGAUCAUCUCAAGCAUCACAAGAUGACACUAAUAUGGAUGUGCUGCUCACAAGUACUUUGAUGGGCAUACGAGAAACCCUUGCAAGUCCAGUACAGACGGUAGCCCCAAAGGAACCGAAUGCUCCUUUAUGGGACAUGCUCAAGAAGAUUCCGUUGCCACCUGAUGAGAGGAUGUCGGUCGGGAUGCAUCUAUGCAAGCCAGAAUUUGCAGUCCAUCGAGGUUUUCUUGUCAGCAUGGGUCAAGAAUACCUAGAGCGUUGGGUGUAUACAUACUUAUCUGACAAUUAUCCUGCUGGCAAACGUGUCGGCGAUGAUCUUGUUGGUAACCUUGGAAACAAAGAUCCUGCUAGUAACCUUGGCGAUGAUCCUGUUGUUAACUCUACCCCUUUCUGA
rnacentral:rRNA from 1 species